rnacentral:rRNA from 1 species
UACGUAGGCAGCGAGCGUUGUUCGGAGUUACUGGGCGUAAAGGGUGUGUAGGCGGUUCUUUAAGUUUGGUGUGAAAUCUCCCGGCCUCAACCGGGAGGGUGCGCCGAAAACUGGGGGACUAGAGUGCGGGAUGGGAGAGUAGAAUUCCUGGUGUAGCGGUGAAAUGCGUAGAUAUCAGGAGGAAUACCGGUGGUGUAGACGGCUCUCUGGACCGCCACUGACGCUGAGACGACGAAAGCCGUGGGUAGCAAACAGG